rnacentral:rRNA from 1 species
CAGCAGCCGCGGUAAUACGGAGGGUGCAAGCGUUAAUCGGAAUUACUGGGCGUAAAGCGCACGCAGGCGGUCUGACAAGUCAGAUGUGAAAUCCCCGGGCUUAACCUGGGAACUGCAUUUGAAACUGUCAGGCUGGAGUCUUGUAGAGGGGGGUGGAAUUCCAGGUGUAGCGGUGAAAUGCGUAGAGAUCUGGAGGAAUACCGGUGGCGAAGGCGGCCCCCUGGACAAAGACUGACGCUCAGGUGCGAAAGCGUGGGGAGCAAACAGGAUUAGAUACCCGUGUAGUCCCUGUCUCUUUACA